rnacentral:rRNA from 1 species
AGUUUGAAUCCUGGCUCAGAGCGAACGCUGGCGGCAGGCUUAACACAUGCAAGUCGAGCGGGCGUAGCAAUACGUCAGCGGCAGACGGGUGAGUAACGCGUGGGAACGUACCUUUUGGUUCGGAACAACACAGGGAAACUUGUGCUAAUACCGGAUAAGCCCUUACGGGGAAAGAUUUAUCGCCGAAAGAUCGGCCCGCGUCUGAUUAGCUAGUUGGUGAGGUAAUGGCUCACCAAGGCGACGAUCAGUAGCUGGUCUGAGAGGAUGAUCAGCCACAUUGGGACUGAGACACGGCCCAAACUCCUACGGGAGGCAGCAGUGGGGAAUAUUGGACAAUGGGGGCAACCCUGAUCCAGCCAUGCCGCGUGAGUGAUGAAGGCCCUAGGGUUGUAAAGCUCUUUUGUGCGGGAAGAUAAUGAC